rnacentral:rRNA from 1 species
UACGGAGGGUGCAAGCGUUAUCCGGAUUUACUGGGUUUAAAGGGUGCGCAGGCGGAUAUGUAAGUCAGUGGUGAAAUCUCUAGGCUUAACCUGGAAAUUGCCGUUGAUACUAUAUAUCUUGAAUGCUGUGGAGGUAAGCGGAAUAUGUCAUGUAGCGGUGAAAAUGCUUAGAUAUGACAUAGAACACCUAUUGCGAAGGCAGCUUACUACGCAGAUAUUGACGCUCAUGCACGAAAGCGUGGGGAUCAAACAGG